rnacentral:rRNA from 1 species
UACGUAGGGUGCAAGCGUUAAUCGGAAUUACUGGGCGUAAAGCGUGCGCAGGCGGUUUUGUAAGACAGUGGUGAAAUCCCCGGGCUCAACCUGGGAACUGCCAUUGUGACUGCAAAGCUAGAGUGCGGCAGAGGGGGAUGGAAUUCCGCGUGUAGCAGUGAAAUGCGUAGAUAUGCGGAGGAACACCGAUGGCGAAGGCAAUCCCCUGGGCCUGCACUGACGCUCAUGCACGAAAGCGUGGGGAGCAAACAGGAUUAGAUACCCCCGUAGUCC